rnacentral:rRNA from 1 species
CCUACGGGUGGCAGCAGUGAGGAAUAUUGGUCAAUGGGCGAGAGCCUGAACCAGCCAAGUCGCGUGAAGGAUGACGGCCCUACGGGUUGUAAACUUCUUUUGUCAGGGAGCAAUUGGGUCCACGCGUGGGCUUAGCGAGAGUACCUGAAGAAAAAGCAUCGGCUAACUCCGUGCCAGCAGCCGCGGUAAUACGUAGGGGGCAAGCGUUAUCCGGAAUUACUGGGUGUAAAGGGAGCGUAGACGGUUAAGUAAGUCUGGAGUGAAAGGCCGGGGCCCAACCCCGGGACUGCUCUGGAAACUAUUGAACUUGAGUGCAGGAGAGGUAAGCGGAAUUCCUAGUGUAGCGGUGAAAUGCGUAGAUAUUAGGAGGAACACCAGUGGCGAAGGCGGCUUACUGGACUGUAACUGACGUUGAGGCUCGAAAGCGUGGGGAGCAAACAGGAUUAGAUACCCUUGUAGUC